UACGGAGGGUGCGAGCGUUAAUCGGAAUUACUGGGCGUAAAGCGCGCGUAGGCGGCUUUGUAAGUCAAAUGUGAAAGCCCCGGGCUUAACCUGGGAAUUGCAUUCGAUGCUGCAGAGCUAGAGUAUGGUAGAGGGAGGUGGAAUUCCGGGUGUAGCGGUGAAAUGCGUAGAUAUCCGGAGGAACACCAGUGGCGGAGGCGACUUCCUGGGCCAAUACUGACGCUGAGGUGCGAAAGCGUGGGGAGCAAACAGG
rnacentral:misc_RNA from 1 species